AGGCUCUUCUAGAAAAAGAGAAUGAAAAGAAAUUGUUACGAGAGGAAAUCUUCCAAACAAAUGAAAAACUUGCUAAUACUUCUCAGCAGCUGGAAUGUCUUCAUCAGGAGAUGAAAAAGCUUGAAAAGAGGGAACAGAGUAAGGUACAACUUCUGGAAGCUGAGCUGAAAGAUACCACAAAUACAAUGAAAACAUUAACAAUAAAGCAGAAUGAGGAAAUAAAAUCUCUCAAGGAAGAAAUAAAUCUCCUACUUAAUCAACGAAACAGUUUACAAAAUCAGAUACAAGAGUCGAAGUUCCAACUGCUGGCUGCAAAAGAUUCUUGUAAACUGUUUAACCAAGAGGCUGAACAGCAUUUAAGAGAAAAGCAAGAAUUGUCUGAGCAGAAGGAGCUGGAAGUGUCACAACUACAAAAGGUGCUAGAAACAGAGAGAAAACAGAGAGAGGAGGUCGUACAGCAGAACAUUAAGUGGCAGAGACAGAAGGAAGAGUUGGAACAAAGAAACACAGAACUGACAGCUAUGCUGCAAAGUCAGUGGGAGACUGAAAAACACCUAAACAAUAAGCUGCUAAGAAAGAAAGAAGAGGUAGAGCACCAGCAGACCACUGUUCAAGCCCUGGAAAGAAAGCAGAGUCAGUGGGAAAAGGUGGAGCUUCAGAAUUCUGAGCUCCAGAGGCAAUGGGAAGAGGCAAAAUCUCAAAUCAAGCUGCUGCAGAAUCAGAAAAGGGACACAGAACUUCAGAACAGAAAUCUGUGGCAACAGAAAGAGGAGGUGGAACUUAAGAAUGCCAAACUGAAAGCUGUACUUCAAAGGCAGCAGGAGGAGGCAGAACAUGAAAGUGCCCUGCUUCAGAGCCAUUGGGAAGAAGCACAAAAACGCUGUUCCGAGUUGCAGAAUUGGAAAGAAAAAGUUGAAUAUCAGAAUGCAGAAUUUCAGGCCCUUCUUCAUAACAGGCAAGAAGAAAUGGAAAGUAAGGAUACAAGUAUGAAGAAAGAACAAAACCAGAAUUUGGAGCUUAAGGCAACAUUGAAAACUCUGGAGCACGAA
rnacentral:lncRNA from 1 species